UCAACUUGUAUUGUUAUGUAAUUAUUUUUCCUCUUCCUUCUGUUAUAAUUUAUGUCAAUGAGUGACCAUAGGCUUGAGUUCUCAGCAUUUAGAAUUUGCGAAAUUGCUGAGUGUCUUCAUCUGUUGAUACCUACCUGAAGGGCAGUUCUCUUUAAGAAGGUGGUUCCCAGAUUGCAGCAGGUAGCAGGCCAAACUGCUGGGCCCCCGCCAGACCCCAGGAGAAGCCAGUGAUCUGAGAACCAUCCAAAACCAACAGAAACUUUAGUCGUUUAAGAGAUUGUUGACAGUUCGAGUUCUGUUGCGUAUUUCCCCUACAUUAUUUCCACACUGGGUUAUUCCUGACAAUCAUAUCAGCUGGCAUCAUUUUAAAAGAAGUGUUCUUGGGGGGAAAAGGAGUAAUUCACAAACUAUCACUUUUCCAGCUUCAGUCUCUGAUUACUGAUGCCUUCUAUGGUAAAGGAUUUCAGAAAAUACAAGCGUAUCUUCAACAGAAAGAAAGCCACUUGCCUCAAAAAUAUGAUCAUCUCCUACUAGACUAUCUCGACAGAUCAGUAAAUAAGGAACUGGAUAAAAAUGAAUUUCAGUACGUUUCACUGUUGUUGAAAUGUGUUCAGCGAUUCGUCAAAGACGCUUUUGGAGAAGAGGAGCCCUUGCUAAUUCAGCAGGGACUGAUCCCGAAGAUGGUUUCCUGGUUUGAAAGGACGAUGGGACUUCUGGGCCCCGAAGCCCUGACCUUGGGCGCAGUGCUGACGCCCAUCGUAGAGGACUUCUUCUUGACUGCACUGGUAAGUGUGGCCGGGUACUCCGUGGAGCAGCUGCUAUUGUG
rnacentral:lncRNA from 1 species